rnacentral:lncRNA from 1 species
AUUUGAAGUUCAAAUGUACUUGAUACACAUGAUACAUAUGUACAUGUAAAUAGCAAUUAAGCAUUCAUGAUUGAGGUAAAAAAUAUUAUCACUCGCGAGAAAAAAACAUAUUUUCACCGGAUUUUUCUCAACCAAUCUACCAUACAUAUUUUGUAAAAAAAGUAUUUGUAGAUACUAGUACAAAAUGAAGAUGGACGUACUGUACAAGACCCG